UACAGAGGGGGCGAGCGUUGUUCGGAAUUACUGGGCGUAAAGGGCGCGUAGGCGGCCAAUUAAGUCAGACGUGAAAUCCCUCGGCUCAACCGGGGAACUGCGUCUGAUACUGGAUGGCUUGAAUUCGGGAGAGGGAUGCGGAAUUCCAGGUGUAGCGGUGAAAUGCGUAGAUAUCUGGAGGAACACCGGUGGCGAAGGCGGCAUCCUGGACCGAGAUUGACGCUGAUGCGCGAAAGCCAGGGGAGCAAACGGG
rnacentral:rRNA from 1 species